UACAGAGGAGCCAAGCGUUGUCCGGACUGACUGGGCGUAAAGCGCACGCAGGCGGCGCUGCGCGUGGGGUGUGAAAGCUCUUGGCUUAACUGAGAGAGGCCAUCCCAUACGGCAGUGCUCGAGCGGUGCAGAGGUCCGCGGAAUUGCCGGUGUAGUGGUGAAAUGCGUAGAGAUCGGCAGGAACACCCAGGGGGAAACCAGCGGACUGGGCAUCAGCUGACGCUCAGGUGCGACAGCGUGGGGAGCGAACAGG
rnacentral:rRNA from 1 species